ensembl:snRNA U4 U4 spliceosomal RNA
AGCUUUAUGCAGUGGCAGUAUUGUAGCCAAUGAGGUUUAUCUGAGGUGCAAUUAUUGCUAAUUGAAAAAAAAUGGCCAUAUAAUCUGAAUAGACAUUUCUUAAAAGAA